CCAGCUGUGCGCGCCUUGGCCUCUUAGGGGCAGUGUCGUGCGAUACAUGCACGAAGCCACACCUUUGCAGGAAAUAAAGAAUAGAAGAAGAACGUCGUGCUAAAACAUUCAUUUAACUAGUUUUUCACAGAUUAUGAAGUAUAUAUGCCUCUGAAGAUUAGGUGACCCCGAUUUUCGAUCACGCGAUCGGAUCGUGGCAACCCUAAUACUGAAUGAGUGGGAGUUGAACCAGCACUCCCUGCACAAGUCAGGGGCUCAGCACAGUAAACCCCUAAUUUGCCAUUCAAACAGCUCAGUGGGAGUGAGUGACACAUGCUAAUUGUGUCACUGGCCGACAGGGAAGAAAGGAGUGAGCCUGAUGAACUUGCCUGCCUUGUAACAAGUGAUCGCACAAAAGCACGCCAUUGGCUGAAUUUACACUGCAGGUCCAAUAUAUGACUGUGAGUAUUGUUGUAUGCUCCGUAUGUAAGGGCUGCUGCGCCGUGUGUGUUAAAUUUGCAUUUGUUUGCUAGUUUCCGUAAGCCCCUCAAUGGCAUUUGACAUUAUAUGUCAGCAUUAAGCUAGCAGACUUUUGUUAGGAGAAAUUAUAUGGUUUGGUUUCACAGUAUGGUGGUUAAAUACGUUUAAUUCUCUUUUUUGACGUUUUGGUUUUCCAGUAAACGUCAACUAAGUGUUAUAACAACCUUUCCUUAAUCUUUGUGGAAAAUGUCAUCGGGUUAAGGCGAUGAAACCUUUUCAGUUUCCUUUUCAAACAUAGGAAAAGGCAGUACUGCUUAAAAUGAAAGUUUAUUAAAAUGACUUCCUGAAACUACUGUUUUCCAUUUUCCAUAAUUAUUUCAACCAGGUUGUUGCCAAUGGUGAGGUUCGCUUAAGAGGCUAAACUUGUGUUGAUGUGGAAACUCACUGCUUCCAGUUGUCUUCCUUAAUUGUGACGGUGGCAUUUUAUUUUCUGAAGGCGUAAAUUAUGGGCUACGAUAAUAACUACUAUGAUGUUGUCUAAUAUUAACAUCGUAAUUUAUUGUUUUGUAUCAGAACGGUAACUUAUUCGCGAUCCUUAUCUUAUUCUCGUUUGGAUAGUGUUUUAUUUUACUCUCUCUGCUUCUUACUCUGGAGCGGAGAGUCGGUAAACUUCAUUGGUGGCCUGUUGCUUUGAAUAUUACUGCCGUACAGGAUUAUGGGGAACAUCCUUUUGUUGAGGUUGGUCAGGAGAAACCUAUGUUCAAGGUGGCUAAAAGGUUGCAUUAAGGCACCGUUCCUAAGUAUUUUUAAUUCAAACAACAUCUACUGUCCAAGUGCUCCCGGGUCAUCUCGCUCAGAUAGAAAGGAAAGGAAAGUUCCUUAGCGAAAACCAGACCGAAGAUGCCCUUUGCAUGUGAUUUGGAGAACGAUGUGAGCGAGAGAGUGAGAACUGGUACGAAGGAGUAUUUUAAAGUGUUUUAAUAAGCGUAAAUGUGUUUCAAGUGUGUGAGGGUGACAAACAAACUAUGACAAAACAACAACAACAAAUUAUAUGGUCUUUGUAUUGCAGAGUUUCAGCUAUUGGGAGUGGGUCUGGAACGUAUCCCCCGUGAUAAACGGGGAUUCAUUGAAUUUUGAUGACGUCAAGGUUGCAGUGGCGGGGUAAAUCACGUCUAUGUUUACGCUGCACUCCAAUUGGCAGACAUCCAAUACCAGUAUUGCAUUUUUUUAUUUUUUGUUUACACAUUUGGAAGAGGCCUAAUUCUGAUAUGAAGAUAACCAUUCCUUGCGGGUGGGUUUCUGUUCAUGCUGCCAUGACUCUUAUCCCAAAUGUGCCGAUUGAGAGGAAAUCAGCAGAAUUGUGUGACUUGAAGCAUGCAGUGUAAAUCUGGCCUUAAUGAGGUAAAUGCAUCUGUAGUUCUCCAAUAUGUUCAAAGCGCCUGUUUUAUACCACAUCAUGUGGACUAUAGUGGAUUUCUUGAGCGCUAUUGUUUGUCUCGGCAUUGUUGCGAAAAACAAGGACAUAGAGUAUUGUACGCCGCAGCACUGGGGAUAUUUUGUUUCCCAUCAAGGUGCCAAG